rnacentral:misc_RNA from 1 species
UUUCCGUAGGUGAACCUGCGGAAGGAUCAUUAGCGAAGCUCGGAAUGCGUGUUCGGUGCUGAUGCUGCCCAGCAAUGGGAUGUGCUCGCUCGGAUGCGUGUCCCUUCUCUAUUCCACCCCUUUGUGAACCAAGCGUGCGAGCCGAAGAGAGAUCGGAGGCUUGCAUGCAACCCUUUAACAUACCCCAACGAAGUAUCAGAAUGUACCUUGCGUUAACUCGCACAAAUAUAACUUUCAACAACGGAUCUCUUGGCUCUCGCAUCGAUGAAGAACGCAGC